rnacentral:tRNA from 1 species
ACUUAAAUAGCUUAAUAUGAGAGCAAGAUAUUGAAGAUAUCUCGGUGAUUUAAAAUCUUUAAGUA